GGAGCUAUAACUCAGUGGUAGAGCACAUGCCUUGCAUGCAUGAGAUACUGGGUUCGAUCCUCAGCACCA
rnacentral:tRNA from 1 species